UUUUCUCUUCUUUUCUCUUUCUUCAUAUAUACUAUCUUAAUGUUUAAAAGUAUACAGCCUUGGAUGAGCUAAUUGUUACUCAGUAAGGCAUUGAAGGUGGUAAUGGGGCUUCAAUUGCAAGAAGGUGAAAGAAAAUCCAACUUCGGGAUUUUUGAGCAGGAUUUUGGGAGUCCCGCCAGGGGCUGAUGUAGCUUUCCGCUACAAGUUCAACUUAAUUAUAUUUUACACAUAGUAUAAAUUUAUAUAUAAAAAUCUACUAAAAUUUUAAUAACUAUUAGAUUUGAAUCAAUAAUUUUAACAGUUCAAUACUAAAAAUUCUAAAAACUGAACCCGUUAAAUUUAAAUCCUGAAUCUGACUCGGAGUCCCACAUAAUGCAUCCAUCCAAUAUAGUUUCAGGGAACAAAACCAAGUGCAUGCACAUUUAAUUUGCUGGAAAAUGAAGGAGUCAGUCGAUUCUGUUUAUCUGGCAGUUCUUCCCUUGUUUGCCUUUAGCAACUGUAAAACAGACCAAAUAGGAACGUUUUUUGUUAGAAGUACUAAAGUACUAUUGCUAGAAUUUCUGAUAAUGUAUAUAUUUAAGAUGAUCAUAGCACUAGUAAUAGCGCUACCUUUUGUAAUUAUGCAUCAGUAAUAUAAUAAAUUAUCCUUUUAGCCAAUAAAAAAUGAACAAGUCAUUCUUGGCUACAUAAGAUGUUUCAUAGGCAAUGGAAGAAGAGACGGCAUUGCAUGAAAGAGAAGAGCUUAUUAAGUUAGCC
rnacentral:lncRNA from 1 species